GUGCCAGCCGCCGCGGUAAUACGGAGGGUGCAAGCGUUAUCCGGAUUUACUGGGUUUAAAGGGUGCGUAGGCGGACUUGUAAGUCUGAGGUGAAAUCUCCGAGCUUAACUCGGAAACUGCCUUGGAUACUAUAGGUCUUGAAUGUCGUUGAGGUCAGCGGAAUAUGUCAUGUAGCGGUGAAAUGCUUAGAUAUGACAUAGAACACCUAUUGCGAAGGCAGCUGGCUAAGCGAAAAUUGACGCUGAUGCACGAAAGCGUGGGGAUCAAACAGGAUUAGAUACCCUGGUAGUCCACGCCCUAAACGAUGAUUACUCGACGUGCGCGAUACACAGUGCGCGUCUGAGCGAAAGCAUUAAGUAAUCCACCUGGGAAGUACGUUCGCAAGAAUGAA
rnacentral:rRNA from 1 species